rnacentral:rRNA from 1 species
AUUGAACGCUGGCGGCAGGCCUAACACAUGCAAGUCGAACGGUAACAGGAAACAGCUUCUGUUUCGCUGACGCGUGGCGGACGGGUGAGUAAUGUCUGGGAAACUGCCUGAUGGAGGGGGAUAACUACUGGAAACGGUAGCUAAUACCGCAUAACGUCGCAAGACCAAAGAGGGGGACCCUCGGGCCUCUUGCCAUCGGAUGUGCCCAGAUGGGAUUAGCUUGUUGGUGGGGUAACGGCUCACCAAGGCGACGAUCCCUAGCUGGUCUGAGAGGAUGACCAGCCACACUGGAACUGAGACACGGUCCAGACUCCUACGGGAGGCAGCAGUGGGGAAUAUUGCACAAUGGGCGCAAGCCUGAUGCAGCCAUGCCGCGUGUAUGAAGAAGGCCUUCGGGUUGUAAAGUACUUUCAGCGGGGAGGAAGGGAGUAAAGUUAAUACCUUUGCUCAUUGACGUUACCCGCAGAAGAAGCACCGGCUAACUCCGUG